rnacentral:rRNA from 1 species
GAGUUUGAUCCUGGCUCAGAACGAACGCUGGCGGCAGGCCUAACACAUGCAAGUCGAACGUGAAGCUCUCUUCGGAGGGUGGAAAGUGGCGCACGGGUGAGUAACGCGUGGGAAUCUACCCUGGUGUGGGGGAUAACCGCUGGAAACGGCGGGUAAUACCGCAUACGCCCUUUAUGGGGAAAGCUUUAUGCGCACUGGGAUGAGCCCGCGUUAGAUUAGGUAGUUGGUGGGGUAACGGCCUACCAAGCCUGCGAUCUAUAGCUGGUCUGAGAGGAUGAUCAGCCACACUGGGACUGAGACACGGCCCAGACUCCUACGGGAGGCAGCAGUGGGGAAUAUUGGACAAUGGGGGCAACCCUGAUCCAGCCAUGCCGCGUGCGUGAAGAAGGCCUUAGGGUUGUAAAGCGCUUUCACUGGUGAAGAUGAUGACGGUAGCCAGAGAAGAAGCCCCGGCUAACUCCGUGCCAGCAGCCGCGGUAAUACGGAGGGGGCAAGCGUUGUUCGGAAUUACUGGGCGUAAAGGGCGCGUAGCGGACAGUCAAGUUAGGGGUGAAAGGCCUGGGCUCAACCUGGGAACGGCCUCUAAAACUGG